AUUGAACGCUGGCGGCAUGCCUUACACAUGCGAGUCGAACGGCAGCACGGGAGCUUGCUCCUGGUAGCGAGUGGCGAACGGGUGAGUAAUGCAUCGGAACAUGCCCACGAGAGGGGGAUAACGUAGCGAAAGUUACGCUAAUACCGCAUAGUCUCUGAGGAGUAAAGCGGGGACCGUAAGGCCUCGCGCUUGUGGAAUGGCCGAUGUCGGAUUAGCUAGUUGGUGGGGUAAAGGCCUACCAAGGCGACGAUCCGUAGCAGGUCUGAGAGGAUGAUCUGCCACACUGGGACUGAGACACGGCCCAGACUCCUACGGGAGGCAGCAGUGGGGAAUUUUGGACAAUGGGGGCAACCCUGAUCCAGCCAUGCCGCGUGAGUGAAGAAGGCCUUCGGGUUGUAAAGCUCUUUCAGCCGGGAAGAAAUCGCGUAGGUAAAUAGCCUGCGUGGGUGACGGUACCGGACUAAGAAGCACCGGCUAACUACGUGCCAGCAGCCGCAGUAACAC
rnacentral:rRNA from 1 species